rnacentral:lncRNA from 1 species
AGUGUCUGACUGUGUGGGUGGCCAUCUUCUACAACAUCACCUACAGUGUGUCCUGGGGCAGCAAUGACGGCAGUGUCUGACUGUUUGGGUGGCCAUCUUCUACAACAUCCCCUACAGUGUGUCCUGGGGCAGCAAUGGCGACAGUGUCUGACUGUGUGGGUGGCCAUCUUCUACAUCAUCUACAGUGUGUCCUGGGGCAGCAAUGACGACAGUGUCUGACUGUGUGGGUGGCCAUCUUCUACAACAUCACCUACAGAGUGUCCUGGGGCAGCAGUGAUGGCAGUGUCUGACUGUGUGGGUGGCCAUCUUCUACAACAUCACCUACAGUGUGUCCUGGGGCAGCAGUGAUGGCAGUGUCUGACUGUGUGGGUGGCCAUCUUCUACAACAUCACCUACAGUGUGUCCUGGGGCAGCAGUGAUGGCAGUGUAUGACUGUGUGGGUGGCCAUCUUCUACAACAUCACCUACAGUGUGUCCUGGGGCAGCAGUGAUGGCAGUGUCUGACUGUGUGUGUGGCCAUCUUCUACAACAUCGCCUACAGAGUGUCCUGGGGCAGCAAUGACGACAGUGUCUGACUGUGUGGGUGGCCAUCUUCUACAACAUCACCUACAGAGUGUCCUGGGGCAGCAGUGAUGGCAGUGUCUGACUGUGUGGGUGGCCAUCUUCUACAACAUCACCUACAAUGUGUCGUGGGGCAGCAGUGACGGCAGUGUCUGUCUGUGUAGGUGGCCAUCUUCUACAACAUCCCCUACAGUGUGUCCUGGGGAAGCAGUGACGUCAGUGUCUGUCUGUGUAGGUGGCCAUCUUCUACAACAUCGCCUACAGAGUGUCCUGGGGCAGCAAUGACGACAGUGUCUGACUGUGUGGGUGGCCAUCUUCUACAACAUCACCUACAGAGUGUCCUGGGGCAGCAGUGAUGGCAGUGUCUGACUGUGUGGGUGUCCAUCUUCUACAACAUCACCUACAGUGUGUCCUGGGGCAGCAGUGAUGGCAGUGUCUGACUGUGUGGGUGUCCAUCUUCUACAACAUCACCUACAGUGUGUCCUGGGGCAGCAAUGACGGCAGUGUCUGACUGUGUGGGUGGCCAUCUUCUACAACAUCACCUACAGAGUGUCCUGGGGCAGCAGUGAUGGCAGUGUCUGACUGUGUGGGUGGCCAUCUUCUACAACAUCACCUACAAUGUGUCGUGGGGCAGCAGUGACGGCAGUGUCCGACUGUGUGUGUGGCCAUCUUCUACAACAUCCCCUACAGUGUGUCCUGGGGAAGCAGUGACGUCAGUGUCUGUCUGUGUAGGUGGCCAUCUUCUACAACAUCCUCUACAGUGAGUCCUGGGGCAGCAGUGACUGCAGUGUCUGACUGUGUGGGUGGCCAUCUUCUACAACAUCCCCUACAGUGUGUCCUGGGGCAGCAAUGACGGCAGUGUCUGUCUGUGUAGGUGGCCAUCUUCUACAACAUCACCAACAGUGUGUCCUGGGGCAACAAUGACGGCAGUGUCUGUUUGUGUAGGUGGCCAUCUUCUACAACAUCCCCUACAGUGUGUCCUGGGGCAGCAAUGGCGACAGUGUCUGACUGUGUGGGUGGGCCAUCUUCUACAUCACCUACAGUGUGUCCUGGGGAAGCAGUGACGGCAGUGUCUGUCUGUGUAGGUGGCCAUCUUCUACAACAUCAUCUACAGUGUGUCCUGGGGCAGCAAUGACGACAGUUUCUGACUGUGUGGGUGGCCAUCUUCUACAACAUCACCUACAGAGUGUCCUGGGGCAGCAGUGAUGGCAGUGUCUGACUGUGUGGGUGGCCAUCUUCUACAACAUCACCUACAGUGUGUCGUGGGGCAGCAGUGACGGCAGUGUCCGACUGUGUGGGUGGCCAUCUUCUACAACAUCCCCUACAGUGUGUCCUGGGGAAGCAGUGACGGCAGUGUCUGUCUGUGUAGGUGGCCAUCUUCUACAACAUCACCUACAGUGUGUCCUGGGGCAGCAGUGACGGCAGUGUCUGACUGUGUGGGUGGCCAUCUUCUACAUCACCUACAGUGUGUCCUGGGGCAGCAGUGACGGCAGUGUCUGAUUGUGUGGGUGGCCAUCUCAUACAACAUCUUUGUGUCCUGGUGCAGAAGUAACGGCAGUGUCUGACUGUGUAGGUGGCCGUCUUCUGACUGUGCAGGUGGCCGUCUUCUACAACAUCACCUACAGUGUGUCCUGAUGCAGCAGUGACGGCAGUGUCUGACUGUGUGGGUGGCUAUUGUCUUCAUGAGAGUUCUUGCAGUGAGGCAAUGCUAGCUAAUCAUCUUGACUGAACAAUUAACUGUGCAUGACUUGUGUAACGUUACCUUGUCUUACCUUAUGAGGUAACAUUACUUAAAUCUUUUUCUCCUCAAUAUUACCCUGUACAUAGGUAUCAUAUGUAAUUUAUAUAACUGAAAAUGUUUUUUAAACAUUGUUUCUCAUUUCUGUAUUAUUUUUAUCCGAAUGCCAACAGCCAGGUUUUGUGUCUGGCUGCAUUUUGUAUGCCCAAGUUCCUAGGACACCAUUCAUUCAGGAACAAGUCGUCUUGACAGAGUAGGAAAUCACGUGAAGUCCAAGCGCCUUGAGGGUUUUUGACAAAAUUUGUCAGUGUGUGAAGCCCCUAUUAAAGUUUUUCAUUACAAACAGUAGCACAGUGGCCUGGUCACCUUGGUUUCAAUCUUAACCUGGAACUUUGAAGAUUCACUUUGAAGAUUCACGGGUAAUGGAGUGCUAUCUGGUACACAAAUCAUUGGUGCUCAGUGGGGCUGGAAGAGUAACUCGGGUACUCGGGUUUGGUGGGUACAGUAAUACCCGGACCCGGACCCGGACCCUUGGUUAGCCAUAUGGGUUAACUCUAUGGUUACAGUUCAAGUCACUAAUGUUCACACUUCUUUCUGACUAUGCACCCAUUCCUUCUUUUAUAUUUUUGAAAUAAAGAUAAAACUUCA